UCCUUCGCGCUCGCCGCAGCUUCCGGUACCAGAGCCGAGCGCCGGAAGCGCAGGGUGUCGCGACUGGCUGUGGAGUGCGCUGCYGUCCAGCCUGUGGAGAACCCAAGUGAGACCCGUAGAGCCGCAGGCCUUAGAGACGCGAGGUUUACUGCUGGUGUCCACUCCACGGAAAAAGCACAGGGAAGAAAUCAUCACCUUGAUUCAGGAAAAUCUCUUAGACCUCCCCGGCUGACGGCAGAAGUUUCUCACAGCAGGUGCUGAGAAGCCGAUUGGGUAUCUGAGAGAGGAGUCAUCAACAUGGAUCCAAAACCUGAACACGAACCCGAAUCCAAAAGACUGAAGAUCACACCAUCAAUAAUGGUACCGACACAAGAGCUACCUUUAAACAUUCAGCCAAGCAAAGGAGGCAAGAAAAAGGAAGGAGCAACAAAAAGCACACUACGUGUAAAUCCCCCGACGUGGAGUCAGAUCCAGAACUUGGCAAGCAAAGCUCAGGGAGUGAUUGAGAAGCAGGGGGUCCCUGAGACACCAGCUACCAUGUUUAUGGCAAUGCUGGCUGUUCUAAGUUGUCAGUCAAAUGCAGUCUCGCCAAAUCCCAGUUCCAAUACCUCCAAGUAGACAUGCAUCGAUUGCAGUUAAAAAAUAAGAAAGGUGGAGAUGUGGAGAGCAGAUGAGCCCCUGGUUGAUGUCGGCUGAUCCUGUGGUGUUGGCAGAAGUCAAGUCUGGGAAACAUUCCUUGCCAAAAAGGCAAGGAUGCAGCAGGAUGUUCCAAGCAUUGCAACAGUAGGGUAACUGCAGAAAUAGUUCUACUUCUGUAACUUUUUAGUGUGCAGAGAAGACUCUUGGUAACUCACAAGACUUGAACAAUUUACAUUGCCCCUCUAGUUAAACUUCCUAAUUAUGAGACCCUUUAUAAUAAACUUGCAAAGCUAGUUCUGGGUCACUGUUUCCCCAUCAGAGUGUCCCAGUGUCCCACCUAGUCCCAGCUUUACUUCAGAAUGUCUGUUUUUCUUUGUUUUUCUCCAUCUCCCAUCACCCCUACUUGAGGUCCUUUGUUGAUGCUGYGUGGGUCUGGCAGAGAGCUGACUUCUACAUUAAUGAAUAACUCAAGUUUGUCUAUAUAGAAGCUAUAAGAAAAAUCUCUGUUCAGAGAAAAAUCAGCUUUCCCCCUUAAUUUCUGGCAGUCCUUGUUAUAAUUCUUUUUUUUUUUUUUUAAGGUUUUUAAAGGUAGACAUAAUACAUUUAUUUAUUUAUUUAUUUUUAUGUGGUGCUGAGGAUCGAACCCUUUGGCUCUCAUGUGCAAGGCUGAGCUGUAACCCCAGCCGCCAUGCAUUAUAAUUCUGGAGCAAUUCUCUUUGAGUUCC